rnacentral:rRNA from 1 species
CAGGCCUAACACAUGCAAGUCGAACGGAAAGGCCCUGCUUUUGUGGGGUGCUCGAGUGGCGAACGGGUGAGUAACACGUGAGUAACCUGCCCUUGACUUUGGGAUAACUUCAGGAAACUGGGGCUAAUACCGGAUAGGAGCUCCUGCUGCAUGGUGGGGGUUGGAAAGUUUCGGCGGUUGGGGAUGGACUCGCGGCUUAUCAGUUUGUUGGUGGGGUAGUGGCUUACCAAGGCUUUGACGGGUAGCCGGCCUGAGAGGGUGACCGGCCACAUUGGGACUGAGAUACGGCCCAGACUCCUACGGGAGGCAGCAGUGGGGAAUAUUGCACAAUGGGCGGAAGCCUGAUGCAGCAACGCCGCGUGCGGGAUGACGGCCUUCGGGUUGUAAACCGCUUUCGCCUGUGACGAAGCGUGAGUGACGGUAAUGGGUAAAGAAGCACCGGCUAACUACGUGCCAGCAGCCGCGGUGAUACGUAGGGUGCGAGCGUUGUCCGGAUUUAUUGGGCGUAAAGGGCUCGUAGGUGGUUGAUCGCGUCGGAAGUGUAAUCUUGGGGCUUAACCCUGAGCGUGCUUUCGAUACGGGUUGACUUGAGGAAGGUAGGGGAGAAUGGAAUUCCUGGUGGAGCGGUGGAAUGCGCAGAUAUCAGGAGGAACACCAGUGGCGAAGGCGGUUCUCUGGGCCUUUCCUGACGCUGAGGAGCGAAAGCGUGGGGAGCGAACAGGCUUAGAUACCCUGGUAGUCCACGCUGUAAACGGUGGGUACUAGGUGUGGGGUCCAUUCCACGGGUUCCGUGCCGUAGCUAACGCUUUAAGUACCCCGCCUGGGGAGUACGGCCGCAAGGCUAAAACUCAAAGGAAUUGACGGGGCCCCGCACAAGCGGCGGAGCAUGCGGAUUAAUUCGAUGCAACGCGUAGAACCUUACCUGGGUUUGACAUGGAUCGGGAGUGCUCAGAGAUGGGUGUGCCUCUUUUGGGGUCGGUUCACAGGUGGUGCAUGGCUGUCGUCAGCUCGUGUCGUGAGAUGUUGGGUUAAGUCCCGCAACGAGCGCAACCCUUGUUCACUGUUGCCAGCACGUUAUGGUGGGGACUCAGUGGAGACCGCCGGGGUCAACUCGGAGGAAGGUGGGGAUGACGUCAAGUCAUCAUGCCCCUUAUGUCCAGGGCUUCACGCAUGCUACAAUGGCUGGUACAGAGAGUGGCGAGCCUGUGAGGGUGAGCGAAUCUCGGAAAGCCGGUCUCAGUUCGGAUUGGGGUCUGCAACUCGACCUCAUGAAGUCGGAGUCGCUAGUAAUCGCAGAUCAGCAACGCUGCGGUGAAUACGUUCCCGGGGCUUGUACACACCGCCCGU